GGAACCAGCAAGUGCGAGAGGUUUUGAUCUUGAAGUUUCAGCCCAAAGAGGAAUUUGCCUCUCCUUCCAAUCCCCUCCGCCCCCAUCCGAUUUUUGUGAAGCAAACAGUUCUCUCAGAGGAGAAGUUCCACUGUUCUCUUCCCUCUUCUUCCCCGAACUUAGUUCUUGGCCCUCCUGGGAGGCAGGGCAGGCUCGGUGGCGCCCAGGCCUCCCGCUUCUGGGUGCUGAAGACAACCACCACCGAUAACAUCAGUUGGAGCCUCGCUCUGCGUAAGCAGCCAACGCGCGCUCAAACUUCGGUCUUACGGGAAAAUGGCACGAAUUCCUACACGGCUUUGGAGGCAGUGGAGCCACUAGGAGUGGGAACCUGCCAGCCCCCAUCCCACCUUUGCACGGAGGACAUGAGCAGACAGGCCCAGGAGGCGGUGGAAGCCAGAAGUCAGCUUCAGAACGGACACCAGUUGGUACCCCCUUCUCCCACGGGCAGCCUCCCACCCUGGGCCUCUGCCUCGACUCCCCCCGCCCCGGGCUUGCAGUGCACCGCGUAAGGUGGCGUCAGGGAUUGAAACCUGGGCUUCUCAGCGCCAUCUGCCAACCCCAGCUCGGGCCCAGGGCCCCAUUCCGUGCCCUGUCCGAGGCGUGAAUGGAAAGCAGCAGUGGACAGAGGUUCAGCCCACCGCACCUGUUCCAUCUCCGGUCCUGGCUGGGAAAGGCGGCACCGGGCACCCGAGUGGCACAAGUGCCAGGUCCCCACUGUCUUGACCCUUUCUCCAGAGGAGGAGGACAGCAAUGGGGGAAAGGCCCUGGCAGAGUGACCUGCCCGCUCCUGCCCCAGAGGAAGCAGUGAAAAUCUGGGCCAAGCAGAAAGGCUUUCCUGACUUCCCGGACACGAGUGCCAUGGAAUAACAGUCACCGAUUUCAGGAUACCUUCCUCAAGCCAUACUCUUAAGAGACAUUAUCUCCCUUCACAAUCACCCCGCAAGGAAUAUGUCUCUGGUGUUAUGGAUGAAGAAACUGAAAGACGCCUGGCUGGCUCAGUUACUAACGCACGUGACUCUUGAUCUUGGGGUUGUAAGUUCGAGCCCCACACUGGGAGCAGAGAUUGCUUACAAAUAAAAUCUUUACAAAAAUAGAAGAAAGAAAAAGAAACCGAGCCCCAGGGAGGUUCCGCUACUUGCCCAAGGUCAAGGUGAGCACAGUGAGUGCAGGCCAAGGCUCAGCCUGUACUCACUUGGUGGCUUUGGACAAGUCACAGGGCCUCUCCAGGCCUCAAGUCGUUAUGUUUAAAAUUGAGAUAAUAGGGGCACCUGGGUGGCUCAGUCAGUUAAACGUCUGACUCUUGAUUUCGGCUCAGGUCAUGAUCCCAGGGUGGUGAGGUUGAGCUCUGGGUUGAGCCUCAAGUUGGGCUCCCAGUUGAGUCCCGCAUCCGGCUCUGGCUCCACGCUGACAGUGCACAGCCUGCUUGGGAUUCUCUCUCUCUCCCUCUCUCUCUGGCCCUCCCCUGCUUGCCCUCUUGUGCAUG